rnacentral:rRNA from 1 species
UACGAGUGGUGCGAGCGUUAUUCGGAUUUAUUGGGCGUAAAGGGUGCGUAGGCGGCAUGCUAAGUCAACUGUUAAAAACCUCAGCCUAACUGGGGAUCGGCGGUAGAUACUGGUGUGCUAGAGGAUGGAAGAGAGAAGUGGAAUUCUUGGAGUAGCGGUAAAAUGCGUAGAUCUCAAGAGGAACACCAAUGGCGAAGGCAGCUUCUUGGUCCAUAUCUGACGCUCAUGCACGAAAGCGUGGGGAGCAAACAGG